GGUGACCAUGAUGAACUCUGGGGCGCUGAUCCAUGUGACUUGAAAGACGCCAUCCAUUUCCUGACUCACC